rfam:Salmo salar isolate Sally breed double haploid chromosome ssa23, whole genome shotgun sequence.
AAUGCACCAAUUUGUAAGUCGCUCUGGAUAAGAGCAUCUGCUAAAAUGACGUAAA